UUAACCUGCGGAAGGAUCAUUA
rnacentral:rRNA from 1 species